UUAUAUUAUGAAUUUGUCAGCAUUACAAAAUCAGAAGGAAGAAUUCGUGAAAUAUGAAGACCUUUGGAUUCCUUUUAAUUCUUGUCUUAUGUGUGAUGAAUGCUACUUGCUUAGAUGAUAAAGCCAUUUGUUUGAAGUGCAAAGGUAGUUGUAUAUUACGAGGACCAUGCGUCAACGAUAAAUGCAAUUGUUUCGGACGAAGUGAUUCGCCAUUCGACUACAAAAUAAAAUGAUCAAAUGUACCGUACGCAAAAUAAAAAAAAAAUUGUAUAAAUGCAUAU